AUGUUGACGCCCGUUGCUGGUCGACCACAAGCGAUUGUGGUCGCGACAAGAGGGAACCUGGUGCAAAUCCAGGGCUGCCCCGCAGCGGUAAGCGGAAACGAACGCCGUCAAUAAGCACUGGCUCGCAAGGGCUGGGAAGCGACGACUAGUAGGCGCCGGAGGACCUUUCGAGGCCCGCUGGCCAGUCCGCAAGUCCGAAGACCUGCCAGUGACUGAGCGGUUCA
rnacentral:ncRNA from 2 species